GGGAGGAAGGUCUGGAAAGUAGAAGAAGGUAGAAGAGGGAAGAGAGUUAAAAGGAGGGGGUGGUGACCGGGCAAGCCCGACUAAUUGUAUAUGACUGUACAUUGGAUGAGUUGUUGGAUAUGAAUGUAAAAAUAAAACAACAAUCAGAAGGAAUUCUAUCGUAAAUGACAUGGAAAAAUACUAAAGAAGAAAACAAGAAAAAAAAGAACGCAGCCAAAUACAUUCUUUGAGAUGACACAAAAAUUGAAUUUACAGGAUAUAUGGAGACCCCUAAAUUUAAAGAACCACCAAUACCCACUUUUAUGCAAAGCCCCACAACUCAUGGUCAAGAAUCGAUAUGGUGUGAAUGAACCUGGAAUUGAGAAGAGAAGACACAAUUUAGCUUAGAUUGGGAACCUAUCUCCUUAAGAGAUUGAUCUCUGGGAAAUGUAGUCUUUAUGUCAUGUGGUCACUGGGAAAUGUAGUCAUUGUGACAUGUGAUAGUAUCUGCGCAAUUUGAUUGGAGACUGAGUUAUAGCUCUGCUGGGUAAAAUGUACCAUGCAGAUAAGCAGUCAUUUUGAAUCCUAAACAAAGGAAACAAAGGUUCAGUCUUGCAACAUUUUUUUUACCUACGUUUAAUGGGAUCAGAUUAUGAACUGAGCCUCAUGUGAAUCACAGCAGUAUCAUAAAUUAUCGAGAACACCUGAAGAACAAACUUAAUCUGCAUGAACUUCCCGUUUGCUUGGAGUUUAUCUGCCCAAGAAGGGCAAUCCUUCGCCCCAACCAGAACAGUAGAUAUGAUAAAAUACCUUACGGGCAAGACCAUAAUCCCUUGAAAAUUGGAUGGAAAGGACAGAAGGAGGCAAGGAAAUGAUUGUUGAACCAAAAUAUCUUGGGAAAAAAAAUUAUGGGCGAAUGAAAGAGAGAAAAAAGGGAGUUGUUUGUUUUUUUUAAAAAAAGAAAACAAGAUACAAUGUUGCAAAAGUUGUGGAACACGUUAUCUUCAAGGAUUAACCGUAGUCUACGUGGCACAAAGAAAUAAAGAAAAUAGAAAAGUUCCGUACUUCCAGGAUGAACUUAAAAACCUGUAAUUAGCAUUACAAAAAAGAGAAACUGCCAACUGUUGUGGGGGAUCACUGCCCCCCUCUUCCCUACCCUGGGCUGGACAAGCACAGCUAAAGGGACAGCUGUGACCCAUGGGCAGGUAUGGCCCACACAAAACCAGUAUGGAAAAAGGCAUAAAAGGACAGAUUCUGCCUUAGAAGAGACUAUUUUGAUAUGGACAGGAAUCUUUUUGACUAUUUGGAUCAUUUGACAACACUACGUUGAAGCUACUUUUUCCAUACCAACGCUACAAAUGCUAAAGCCAACAGCAAGAAGAUAGUCAAUGAAUUGAAGAGAAAGAGCAGCCAACUUCGAAGGGAGACAGAAAGGAAAAAAUGGACUUUCAGAACAUCCUAUCAGGGGUUCCAAUACCUAGCAGACCUCCAAAUCUCUUUAGGAGCGUGAUCUGAAAAGCCUUAGAAACUGCUCCGGAUCUCAACCAAGUUGGGCGUUAAAAAGACACAAGCUGUCGAGUACGGUUCCUGUCUGCAUCAUCGGGUCCAAAAAUCACACCUUUGAUCAGUUGUUAGAUCGUAUCAAUCAAGAGAACCGGGACACCGCAUUCAUACAAUAUGCGGUUCGAUCAACAGCAAAUUAUUCAUAAAUUGGAACUGGGAUACCCCGGAGGUUGCCGUCCCUCAGUGGUUUCUACCAAUCCCAGUUCUAUUCAGCAGACUGGGUAUUGUCAGCCAAAGAACGUCAGCUAGUGGAGACGGACUGGGGGAGUGAGGGGGUCUUUUCUUCUAUAACUCCUGUCCUCUGGAAUAUUCUCUCUCUGGAGAGUAGAAUGACCCUUGACAGACUGACUCUUUCAUUAAGGCCUCAAAGACCUGGUUAUAUGUCUGGGUCCCCAGGCAUGUGAAAACACCUAUUUCCUAGUUAUAAUCCAUUUGACAAAGUGCUCUCAUCGGCUGCAUACUGUAGAUUAAAAGUCCUUACUUAAAAGUGGAACCCUUCCCCAAGGACCAAAGCCAACACGCAUCAAGAGCAUAAACUAACUGAAAGAAGCCUUACCAGACUGGCAAACUUGUAAAAGUUACCACAAGGGUGGGCAAUUAAAGUUUCCCCAAGAGGCCACAUGAGAAACUGGGACUGUUGUUUUAAGGGACCACAGACCUGACAACCACCACAAGUACACAGCAGCAGCCCUGCCUCUCGAGCUCUCCCUCGAGUCACGUCUACAACAUUGGCUGCGUAAGUUGUCUUGAGGGAGAGUUGGGGUGGUGGUCGUUUGUGGGAGAAGUGUGUCACUGUGUGGAAAUGAAGCAGCCAGAAAACUGAUACCUUUUCCUCCACUAGUUAAGACUCAUAAAGGGUAGUGGUUGGUGGUACAGUUAACCGUUGGGAACGAAGAGUGGUGAGCAGCGAGUAGUAGCCUGUAAAUGCUCGUGCUGCCUUACAAGAAUUGUGUUGUGUUGGCUCUGUUUUGGAUCCCAUUGACAAUGAACCCAUGACCAGGUGGUGGGCAAUGGUGGAAUAUCCACAAAUGAGAUGGGCUAUCCAACUCAAGGUGGCAACCAAACAAGUUACACGAAUCACUCCAGGAAAAGGGCCCAGGCCAAAGCCCAGCUCCUAAGGCCAGCCUUUCAUGAAAAAUGGCAGAAAAGCUUAGAAGCCUGUUAGAAGGCCAGCCUCUUCUGCAGAAAAGGAAGAAAAUCUAGACUUUGCACAAAUUGGCCAACAUGCUACAGCAAAAACCAGACUUCAACGUAUUGGUACCUACACCAGGAGUAGAAAAUUAAAUUUCCUAAGGGGCUACGUCAGAAACGAACUGUUUCUCCCAAACUGGAAGAUGAGGAUGAACAAUAAAUGGACGGAAACAGAACGAUUCAAAAGAGAAAGCACGAGAACAAGAGCAGAGAGGAACAAGGACAAAUAGAGGACCGAGACCCAUAUACAAACAGUAAGACAGAAGAGGAAAUCAAGAUGAUUUCAAUUAACAUCAAUGGAAUGAACUCACCAGCAAAAAGGAAACCAAUGAUAGUAAGACUACAAAAACAGAAUACAGACAUUGUUUUGCCCACAGGAAGUACAUAGCAAGAAGUAGUAUACAAGAAGAUCUCAAAACGGGGAAAUUGUAUUUAUCUCUUGCACAGCAAAAGAAGAGAGGAAUAGCGGUGUAUAUGAAAGAGUGGCUAAAACCUAAGCAAAUCUACGCUGAUGAGGAUGAUGAAGUAGUACUAUUGACUCAAAUAGCAACGAAUCAGAAACAAAUAUUGCUCGGGGUAAAUCUAUGCACCGAACAACAAACUGAAGGAAUUCUAUCGUAAACGACAUGGAAAAAUACUAAAGAGGCAGAACGUGAAAACAAUGCCUAGCAGGUGAUUUUAAUGCAGUUGCUGACAUUAAGAUUACAGAAACAACCAAAGAAAGAAAACAAAAAUAAGGAAAAAAGAACGCAGCCAAAUACAUUCUUUUGAGAUGACACAAAAAUUGAAUUUACAGGAUAUAUGGAGACCCCUACAUUUAAAGAACCACCAAUACCCCUUUUAUUCAAGGAUCCCCCACACACAACUCAUGGUCAAGAAUCGAUGUGGUGUGGAUGAACCUGGAAUUGAGAACGGAUAUAGAAAUAGUAGAUGUGCUGACUAGAGGGGCAUUUUAGCUUAGAUUGGGAACAUAUCUCCUUAAGAGAUUGAUCUCUGGGAAAUGUAGUCUUUACAGUAUGUCAUGUGGUCACUGGGAAAUGUAGUCGUGACAUGUGAUAGUAUCUGCGCAAUUUGAUUGGACACUGAGUUAUAACUCUGCCAUUUUUUAUAACUCUGCCAUUUUUAAAUCUUUGUUAAAUUUUGAGUUUAUUCUUCAUUUUUUAAUCUGUCUCGGCUGGUCUAGGUCCGACCUGGUAGGAACGGGCUCGGGACAUGGAUUGCCCUGGUCCUAUUAGAUCUCUCAGUAGCUUUUGAUAGCAUCGACCAUGGUAUCUUGCUGCGACGGCUGGUUGGUUUAGGAGUGGGGGGCACCGUUUUUCGGUGGUUCUCCUCCUAUCUUUCUGACUGGUCGCAGACGGUGUUGGCAGGAGGGCAGAGAUCAGCCGCAAGGCGCUUCAUGUGUGGGGUGCCACAGGGGUCGGUUCUCUCGCCUCUUCUGUUCAACAUCUAUAUGAAACCGCUAGGUGAGAUCAUCUGUGGCUUUGGGGUGCGAUGUCAUCUGUACGCUAAUGAUACUCAGCUGUACAUUACUACCCCGACGAGGCCGUUGAAGUCAAGUCCCGGUGUUUGGAGGCCGUGCGGGCCUGAAUGGGGAAGAACAGACUUCGACUCAACCUUACAACACAGUGUAAGCCACCCUGAGUCUUCGGAGAAGGGCGGGUUAUAAAUUCAAAUUAAAAAAAAAAAAAAACACCCUUCCAAGACGAAGCCAUUGAAGUGAUGUCCCAGUGCCUGGAGGCCGUGUGGGUCUGGAUGGGGAGAAACAGGCUCCAUCUUCAACCUAUUCAAGACUGAGUGGCUGUGGAUGCCGGCAUCCCGGUACAGCCAGCUGACUCCAUCGCUGACUGUUGGGGGCAAGUCAUUGGCCCCCGUGGAGAGGGUUCGCAAUUUAGGCGUCCUCCUGGAUGUACGGCUGUCCUUAGAAGAGCAUAUGACGGCCGUCGCCAGGGGAGCUUUUUAUCAGGUUCACCUGAUACGCCAGUUGCGUCCCUUCCUAGACCGGGUUUCCCUAUGCACGGUCACUCACGCCCUCGUCACUUCCCGCCUGGACUACUGUAACGCUCUCUACAUGGGGCUCCCCUUGAAGAGCACCCGGAGGCUCCAACUGGUCCAGAAUGUGGCUGCAUGGGUAAUAAUAGAGGGAGUAUCUCGAGGUUCCCGUGUGACACCUCUCCUGCGCAAGCUGCACUGGCUUCCGGUGGUCUUCCAGGUGCAAUUCAAGGUGUUGGUUACCACCUUUAAAGCGCUCCAUGGCAUAGGACCGGGUUAUUUACGGGACCGCCUGCUGCUACCAAUAGCCUCCCAUCGACCCGUACGCUCCCAUAGGGAGGGUGCCUCAGGGUGCCAUCAGUCAAACAAUGUCGACUGGCGACCCCCAGGGGGAGGGCCUUCUCUGUGGGGGCUCCUGCCCUCUGGAAUGAGCUGCCUCCGGGGAUAUGUCAACUCCCUGACCUCCGGACCUUUCGACGCAAGCUAAAGACCUUUUUGUUUUAUCAUGCAGGGCUAGCUUAAUGUAGUUUUAAUAUGGGUUUUAUUAUAGUUUUAGUCUAUUCUCGGCCUAAUCGAAUUAGCUUUUUAAAAUGUUUUUUUUAAUUUUUGUGGAAUCUGUUUUUAAUUUGGCUGUAAACUGUCCUGUGUCCUUUGGGACAAGGGCAGUAUAUAAAUUAAAUUAAUAAAUAAUAAUAAAAUAAUAAACAAACAAAGGGAGCCAGGACACGCACUCAAACGCGUCAAAACCCAGCUUUAAUCCCCACAAACAGGCUAGAGCCUCAGAACACAAGUUGAUAACAGGUUCCUUGUAAUGUCAGCGCUGGGAACAAGUCAACUAGCGAACCCAAAACAAAGCCAUCACUCUAGGAGGACUCGAAUUCCAAAAAGUAAAACUUUGUUGGAUAAACCAUAUAGGUACUUAGUAAGCAAAACCAGAUCUGGUUUUCCUGCGCAAAUGCUUGCCCUGUUUAACAAUAGCUUUCCCUUUCUCCCCAUCCCAAGUGAUCACAUUGUUGGCAAAUGACAUCCUUCUGUUAUGGGAACAGUCCAUCUUUCUCAAGCACCUGCAGUGGUGACCUUGAUGGUUGCCAAGCUCUCACUAUCUCUGCAUACGUUCUCCACAUUUCAUUUCCUCCUUGCCAUCCCAUCCCAGAGUUCAUUGGCAAGUUGAAAAGCAUUAAAGAUGUGAAAGCAGCAAAGCGGUUCAAUUUUGACAACGUAUUUGAAUCUCAUUGGUCAGGGAGGGGUGAGUCAGUGAUGGGAGACAGUUAAGGGAGGGAAAAGUUGAACUUGGGCAUUUUGGCAAUACACUGGUGACUUCUAACAAAAUUAUACCUUAUUCAGCGAAUGGAGCAAAGUACCGUUUCUAUUUAGAGGUUUAAGUGGUGGCAGGUCUUGACGCAAACUAAGUUGCAGAAACAGGUUACGGAAUUCCGGUUUGUAUAUACAAGUUUUCCACUUUUCAUGCCACAUUUGACAAUAGUAUCGGGGAAAGCCUGCAGUGAUCGCCAGUGGAAGCGAGGCAAGUCAAGGCAGCAAGACAUGCAAGCACGAGCCAAGGGUUCGGAAAUCCACGGCUUUGGAGCUGCUCAUGCCUCUUGCAAGACACUUGGCAGCACACAAUACAUUGAGCUUUUCAACCCCCGGUAAGGCCAACCAUGGAUAAAUCAAAGAAAAUAAAAGUUUCAGAAGAAAACAAGAAAUGUUUAAUGACUAAGUUUAUUACUACCUACUUGGGCCUCCCAAAGUCCUUUAAAAAAGACCAAGCCUCCUUUGGGGCCAACAAACCUGUCCAGGAUCAACACAGGACAUAAUACCACACAAGGGGCGCAUUCCGAACACUGCCCAACCAUUUCCAUGGAAACCGAGAUCACCGACACAUACGAUGCAGUGAAAGUCUUUUCAAGUGAAGCUGGGAGUGAGACUCAGAUGCAGCAAGGAAAUUUGAAUCACUUCUCACUGUUGCCAAGCAACCAUAAACCAAGCCUCCACCGCUGUGUUCGCAAGAUGCUCGUUUUGCUUGUAAACUGAACACGCUUCACAUGGGCGUUUACACAUCAACUUUUGGGUUGACUUUGGAAGAACAGCAAUUCCAUUUUUGGAUUGCUCAGCGAUCCGUUUGCGGUUGACAUGGUACCUGUAAACAUCCAGAUGGGCCUGAUAGAACUCCACUGUAACAGAACAGCAGACUUGAGGCAAAAUAAAGAUUCUGUAGGACCCAGAACGAUGCCGAUUCCACCUAUUAGCGACUCGAACGCUCUGCAUGUUUGAUAGUACGUGCGCGACAGUGAGGAAAUUCAGCCAGAUCUAUCCAGAUCAUGUGAUCUGGUAACUCCGGUGGCGGGAGGCUCUGCCCAUCUGACUGGAUGUCAUCACGUCCCGUUUUUGACCCUCUGCGCAUGCGUGCAGGAGGCGCGCGAGCGUAGCACGCACUCACAUUUGCAAGCCGGUAGAUAAAGAACUAUGAAGAAUGAACUCAAAUGGAAGAUAUGUGACAGGGGAAAAACCGUAUCAGGAAUCUCCAUGUAUCUGUAAGGUUUGGCAAUACGCUUAAGCCAAAAUGAACCAAAACAAAGACUUAAAACAGAGCCUUAAGAACCAAAGAAACAGACUUUAUUCUUUGAUCAAAGUUGAAGUUCUGGGUAAGAAGUUCCAAACUCAUGUAGAAGACACCAGAAGAAAAUUAUAAGUCAUGAGACAAAGCAGUGUCCUCUCUUAUGCCUAAAAAAGUCUUCGUAGUAUUCUAAUUACUCCAGUCAUAUAAUCUAACUUCAUUGUAAACAUAAUAUAAUAUAAUAAUAUAUAGUAUAAUAAUAUAUAGUAAUAUCAUCUUAAAUCCAGGUUUACAUCUUCCUGCAGUGUUUAUUCUUCGUUAUCUUUUCCUCCUUUUGUCUUCCUAAUUAAGUACUUGGUCCCCUAUUAACAGUACAAAAGGUGUGUAGAUUGCUCUGGUAGAUUGAGAUAGGUGUCGGUUGCAAUUUUAUUGUCAGGGAAAAAACUAAAAGUAGUUGAGCUUGAACUGGAGAUUAAACGUUAUUCCUUUAUAUGUAUAUCACAGCAAACUGAGGUAACUGUUUUUAGACAUGUUAAAGAUCACCAAUAUUGACUGUUGCUCAGCAGAAUGGAAUUAUGAAAUUAGCUAUCAAAUUUUUGAAGUCUUUUGAAUGUUGUAUAAAAGGCUGGCAUGUUCCUCAUCUUGGAUGUGUAGUUUUUGUACUGCAGCAAUAAAUCAUUGGAUUUCUUCUUGCCUGCUUGGAAUUUGGAGGCUCUCACACCAAACUUCCCUAUAGUUGUUUUUUUCUGGUUAAGAGUUAUAAGGGCUAUUUCAAAGAAAAAAUGCAGCCCUUUAACUUGAAGGCAAUCUUUUAUGAAAUAGUCAAUCUUCAAAAUAGAAAAAGCCACCCAAUUUUUUUCUUUAAAGCCGAACAAAGCAACCAUUUCCCCAUGUUUUUUGGGGGGAAAACUUUUGUAAAUCCCCUUUGUUGGAGAAAAUUUAGCACUAGGAGUCCCAGCUGUAUUUUUAUUUUUAUGCUAAAAACUCAGAUUAUCUCCUUGCAAAGCAUAGAGCCAAAGUAUCAUCUGGGCUUUCCCUAAAUUACUUCAAAAAUUUAAAAUGUACACUGCCCAUAAAUAUGGAGGUUCAAACGGGCCAGUUAUAAUAAAUAUGUUAAACUUUUAAGCCUAUGCUGCAUUUCCUGUUUCCCAUAACUUAGAAACAGGGUUGCCUUAAAAAAACCCGCAUUAACUGUGUUCAAAAUAAACCCAGAUACCAAAAAUUUAAACCAGUUUUAAACUACUGUAAUUUGUUUCCUGUAGUGUAACUGAAUAGAAACUGUUCAUGUUGGGCAUAGGAAAGGCUAGACUUCAUUUAAACAAACCAUCUUGGUUUAAAAUCCCAGCAGUUUCCAUCUGCAGCGUAUGAGGCUAGAGAAUCAUUGCCUAUUGGCUUAUAAAUAAUCAUUGGCCAACAGGAAUAGCUGCUAUAUAAGUAGCAGCUGUGAGUGAAGCUGGUUUGUUCGGGAACAUUGCCCUAUUUUUACUUGCUGUUGGUUUG